UACGUAGGGGGCAAGCGUUGUCCGGAAUCAUUGGGCGUAAAGCGCACGUAGGCGGAUUGUUAAGUCGGGGGUGAAAUCCUGGAGCUCAACUCCAGAACUGCCUUCGAUACUGACGAUCUCGAGUCCGGGAGAGGUGAGUGGAACUCCGAGUGUAGAGGUGAAAUUCGUAGAUAUUCGGAAGAACACCAGUGGCGAAGGCGGCUCACUGGCCCGGUACUGACGCUGAGGUGCGAAAGCGUGGGGAGCAAACAGG
rnacentral:rRNA from 1 species